GACGAACGCUGGCGGCGUGCUUAACACAUGCAAGUCGAACGGAAAGGCCCUGCUUUUGUGGGGUGCUCGAGUGGCGAACGGGUGAGUAACACGUGAGUAACCUGCCCUUGACUUUGGGAUAACUUCAGGAAACUGGGGCUAAUACCGGAUAGGAGCUCCUGCUGCAUGGUGGGGGUUGGAAAGUUUCGGCGGUUGGGGAUGGACUCGCGGCUUAUCAGCUUGUUGGUGGGGUAGUGGCUUACCAAGGCUUUGACGGGUAGCCGGCCUGGGAGGGUGACCGGGCACCUUGGGACUGAGGUAAGGACCAGAAUGCUACCGGAGGCAAGGGUGGGGAAUAUUGCACAAUGGGGCGGAGGCUGAGACGACAACGCCGGGUUCGGGAAGACCGGCUUUGGGGUGUAAACCGCUUUCGCCUGUGACGAAGCGUGAGUGACGGUAAUGGGUAAAGAAGCACCGGCUAACUACGUG
rnacentral:rRNA from 1 species